rnacentral:rRNA from 1 species
CGGCCGCGUCGACCAAGAACGGGUGUGAGAGUGGAAAGUUCACACUGUGACGGUAGCUUACCAGAAAGGGACGGCUAACUACGUGCCAGCAGCCGCGGUAAUACGUAGGUCCCGAGCGUUGUCCGGAUUUAUUGGGCGUAAAGCGAGCGCAGGCGGUUUGGUAAGUCUGAAGUUAAAGGCUGUGGCUCAACCAUAGUUCGCUUUGGAAACUGUCAAACUUGAGUGCAGAAGGGGAGAGUGGAAUUCCAUGUGUAGCGGUGAAAUGCGUAGAUAUAUGGAGGAACACCGGUGGCGAAAGCGGCUCUCUGGUCUGUAACCUGACGCUGAGGCUCGAAAGCGUGGGGAGCGAACAGGAUUAGAUACCCUGGUAGUCCACGCCGUAAACGAUGAGUGCUAGGUGUUGGAUCCUUUCCGGGAUUCAGUGCCGCAGCUAACGCAUUAAGCACUCCGCCUGGGGAGUACGACCGCAAGGUUGAAACUCAAAGGAAUUGACGGGGCCCGCACAAGCGGUGGAGUAUGUGGUUUAAUCGAUGCAACGCGAAGACCUUACCCG